rnacentral:rRNA from 1 species
GACGAACGCUGGCGGCGUGCCUAAUACAUGCAAGUUGAGCGCUGAAGGUUGGUACUUGUACCAACUGGAUGAGCAGCGAACGGGUGAGUAACGCGUGGGGAAUCUGCCUUUGAGCGGGGGACAACAUUUGGAAACGAAUGCUAAUACCGCAUAAAAACUUUAAACACAAGUUUUAAGUUUGAAAGAUGCAAUUGCAUCACUCAAAGAUGAUCCCGCGUUGUAUUAGCUAGUUGGUGAGGUAAAGGCUCACCAAGGCGAUGAUACAUAGCCGACCUGAGAGGGUGAUCGGCCACCUUGGGAAUGAGACACGGCCCAAAAUCCUACGGGGGGGAGCAGUAGGGGAGCUUCGGCAAUGGACGAAAGUCUGACCGAGCAACGCCGGGUGAGUGAAGAAGGUUUUCGGAUCGUAAAACUCUGUUGGUAGAGAAGAACGUUGGUGAGAGUGGAAAGCUCAUCAAGUGACGGUAACUACCCAGAAAGGGACGGCUAACUACGUG